GUGGAUUAGAUACCCUGGUAGUCCACGCCCUAAACGAUGUCAACUAGGUGUUGGUAGGGUAAAACCUAUUAGUACCGUAGCUAACGCGUGAAGUUGACCGCCUGGGGAGUACGGCCGCAAGGUUAAAACUCAAAGGAAUUGACGGGGACCCGCACAAGCGGUGGAUGAUGUGGAUUAAUUCGAUGCAACGCGAAAAACCUUACCUACCCUUGACAUGUCCAGAAUCCCCGAGAGAUUGGGGAGUGCCUUCGGGAACUGGAACACAGGUGCUGCAUGGCCGUCGCCAGCU
rnacentral:rRNA from 1 species